GGGUUGUGAGGUUAAGCGACUAAGCGUACACGGUGGAUGCCCUGGCAGUCAGAGGCGAUGAAGGACGUGCUAAUCUGCGAAAAGCGUCGGUAAGGUGAUAUGAACCGUUAUAACCGGCGAUGUCCGAAUGGGGAAACCCAGUGCAAUUCGUUGCACUAUCGUUAACUGAAUACAUAGGUUAACGAGGCGAACCGGGGGAACUGAAACAUCUAAGUACCCCGAGGAAAAGAAAUCAACCGAGAUUCCCCCAGUAGCGGCGAGCGAACGGGGAGCAGCCCAGAGUCUGAAUCAGCUUGUGUGUUAGUGGAACGGUCUGGAAAGUCCGACGGUACAGGGUGAUAGUCCCGUACACCAAAAUGCACAGGCUGUGAACUCGAAGAGUAGGGCGGGACACGUGGUAUCCUGUCUGAAUAUGGGGGGACCAUCCUCCAAGGCUAAAUACUCCUGACUGACCGAUAGUGAACCAGUACCGUGAGGGAAAGGCGAAAAGAACCCCGGCGAGGGGAGUGAAAAAGAACCUGAAACCGUGUACGUACAAGCAGUGGGAGCACCUUCGGGUGUGACUGCGUACCUUUUGUAUAAUGGGUCAGCGACUUAUAUUCUGUAGCAAGGUUAACCGUAUAGGGGAGCCGCAGGGAAACCGAGUCUUAACUGGGCGUUAAGUUGCAGGGUAUAGACCCGAAACCCGGUGAUCUAGCCAUGGGCAGGUUGAAGGUUGGGUAACACUAACUGGAGGACCGAACCGACUAAUGUUGAAAAAUUAGCGGAUGACUUGUGGCUGGGGGUGAAAGGCCAAUCAAACCGGGAGAUAGCUGGUUCUCCCCGAAAGCUAUUUAGGUAGCGCCUCGUGAACUCAUCUUCGGGGGUAGAGCACUGUUUCGGCUAGGGGGUCAUCCCGACUUACCAACCCGAUGCAAACUACGAAUACCGAAGAAUGUUAUCACGGGAGACACACGGCGGGUGCUAACGUCCGUCGUGAAGAGGGAAACAACCCAGACCGCCAGCUAAGGUCCCAAAGUCAUGGUUAAGUGGGAAACGAUGUGGGAAGGCACAGACAGCCAGGAUGUUGGCUUAGAAGCAGCCAUCAUUUAAAGAAAGCGUAAUAGCUCACUGGUCGAGUCGGCCUGCGCGGAAGAUGUAACGGGGCUAAACCAUGCACCGAAGCUGCGGCAGCGACACUAUGUGUUGUUGGGUAGGGGAGCGUUCUGUAAGCCUGCGAAGGUGACCUGUGAGGGUUGCUGGAGGUAUCAGAAGUGCGAAUGCUGACAUAAGUAACGAUAAAGCGGGUGAAAAGCCCGCUCGCCGGAAGACCAAGGGUUCCUGUCCAACGUUAAUCGGGGCAGGGUGAGUCGACCCCUAAGGCGAGGCCGAAAGGCGUAGUCGAUGGGAAACAGGUUAAUAUUCCUGUACUUGGUGUUACUGCGAAGGGGGGACGGAGAAGGCUAUGUUAGCCGGGCGACGGUUGUCCCGGUUUAAGCAUGUAGGCUGGUUGUCCAGGCAAAUCCGGAUAAUCAAGGCUGAGGUGUGAUGACGAGGUACUACGGUGCUGAAGUAACAAAUGCCCUGCUUCCAGGAAAAGCCUCUAAGCAUCAGGUAACAUUAAAUCGUACCCCAAACCGACACAGGUGGUCAGGUAGAGAAUACCAAGGCGCUUGAGAGAACUCGGGUGAAGGAACUAGGCAAAAUGGUGCCGUAACUUCGGGAGAAGGCACGCUGGUGUGUAGGUGAAGUCCCUGCGGAUGGAGCUGAGACCAGUCGAAGAUACCAGCUGGCUGCAACUGUUUAUUAAAAACACAGCACUGUGCAAACACGAAAGUGGACGUAUACGGUGUGACGCCUGCCCGGUGCCGGAAGGUUAAUUGAUGGGGUUAUCCGUAAGGAGAAGCUCUUGAUCGAAGCCCCGGUAAACGGCGGCCGUAACUAUAACGGUCCUAAGGUAGCGAAAUUCCUUGUCGGGUAAGUUCCGACCUGCACGAAUGGCGUAAUGAUGGCCAGGCUGUCUCCACCCGAGACUCAGUGAAAUUGAACUCGCUGUGAAGAUGCAGUGUACCCGCGGCAAGACGGAAAGACCCCGUGAACCUUUACUAUAGCUUGACACUGAACAUUGAGCCUUGAUGUGUAGGAUAGGUGGGAGGCUUUGAAGCGUGGACGCCAGUCUGCGUGGAGCCAACCUUGAAAUACCACCCUUUAAUGUUUGAUGUUCUAACGUUGGCCCCUGACCGGGGUUGCGGACAGUGUCUGGUGGGUAGUUUGACUGGGGCGGUCUCCUCCCAAAGCGUAACGGAGGAGCACGAAGGUUAGCUAAUCCUGGUCGGACAUCAGGAGGUUAGUGCAAUGGCAUAAGCUAGCUUGACUGCGAGCGUGACGGCGCGAGCAGGUGCGAAAGCAGGUCAUAGUGAUCCGGUGGUUCUGAAUGGAAGGGCCAUCGCUCAACGGAUAAAAGGUACUCCGGGGAUAACAGGCUGAUACCGCCCAAGAGUUCAUAUCGACGGCGGUGUUUGGCACCUCGAUGUCGGCUCAUCACAUCCUGGGGCUGAAGUAGGUCCCAAGGGUAUGGCUGUUCGCCAUUUAAAGUGGUACGCGAGCUGGGUUUAGAACGUCGUGAGACAGUUCGGUCCCUAUCUGCCGUGGGCGCUGGAGAAUUGAGGGGGGCUGCUCCUAGUACGAGAGGACCGGAGUGGACGCAUCACUGGUGUUCGGGUUGUCAUGCCAAUGGCACUGCCCGGUAGCUAAAUGCGGAAGAGAUAAGUGCUGAAAGCAUCUAAGCACGAAACUUGCCCCGAGAUGAGUUCUCCCUGAGACUUUAAGUCUCCUGAAGGAACGUU
rnacentral:rRNA from 1 species